rnacentral:RNase_P_RNA from 1 species
CCAGGAGGCUGGGCGACCGCGGCAUAGCGAUAUGGCGAGGAAAGUCCGGGCUCCACGAAAAGACGGUGCCAGCUAACGGCUGGCGGAGGCAACUCCAGGGAAAGUGCAACAGAGAGCAGGUCGCGUUUGUCUUAGGACUUGAGGCUUCGGCCGCGUGACAGUGAAAGGGUGCGGUAAGAGCGCACCGCGUCCCCGGCAACGGGCGACGGCAUGGUAAACCCCACCGGGAGCAAGACCGAAUAGGGACGGCACGGAGCGCAAGUUCCAGGGCAUUUUUCGGCUCGAUCGUCCGGGUUGGUUGCUUGAGGCCAUGAGCGAUCAUGGUCCUAGAUGAAUGGUCGCCCAGUUCCGGCUUGCCGGGAUGGACAGAACCCGGCUUACAGGCCUCCUGGCAUU